ensembl:lncRNA
CCAAGCAAGGUGAACGAAAACGAUGCCAGAGGAAUUGUGCCUUUGUUCCCGUGCUUCAGUGUCCCCUUCUUCAAAAAUGGCUAUAAGCAUUACUAUGUUGGUAUGAGUGCCACUGGAUACUUGUUAUGGAGAAUCAAAACUAUACAGAGAGGCAUUUCUAAUGAGGAAUAUAAUUUGAAGGCCAGAAGAGACCAGGAAAGGUGUCUACGUCUCAAGUACAGAUAUCUUCUAAAAGUUUUUUUUUAGAGUGGAACAAGCAUUGCGCAUCUUCAAGACAUCACUGGAAGUGCUCACCUCUGUCUCCUGGCUCUGGGAAGAAUUAUUCAGUUCACCAGUACUUCAGUAUGCCAUUCCAUGCAAGUCAGUGUCUUCUCUCUUGAUGCCUUUGAAAAACUCUUUAAUGGGGUUAAUUUACCCCCACCCCAAAAAAUGAAAAUUCUGUCAUCAUUUACUCACCCUCAUUUUAUAUUAAAACUUAUAUUAAAACUAAGUCAGUGAUUCUGGUAGUGUUUAGGCCAGCAGAGAAGGCAUUGCUGGCCCUGACGGCCCACCACUGGAGUUUUCAGUUCCAGAACACCUGAGCUGUGUUAGUUCAAUCCACUCUGAGUAGGCUGACUCUGACCCUGCGUUCCAUCCAGAAGAGCUCAUCGUGUAUUAAAUAAAUUCAAUGCACACAGACUGAAGUAUUUUAAGUCUUUGGUUCUUUUAAUUGUGAUGAUUUUGGUUCACAUUUAACA